rnacentral:rRNA from 1 species
UUCCCUACGGGGCGCAGCAGUAGGGAAUCUUCCACAAUGGGCGAAAGCCUGAAAAAAAAAAAAAAAAAAAAAAAAAAAAAAAAAAAAAAAGUAAAACACUGUUGUUAGAGAAGAAAGUGCGUGAGAGUAACUGUUCACGUUUCGACGGUAUCUAACCAGAAAGCCACGGCUAACUACGUGCCAGCAGCCGCGGUAAUACGUAGGUGGCAAGCGUUAUCCGGAUUUAUUGGGCGUAAAGGGAACGCAGGCGGUCUUUUAAGUCUGAUGUGAGAGCCUUCGGCUUAACCGGAGU